rnacentral:rRNA from 1 species
UACAGAGGUGGCAAGCGUUGUUCGGAAUUACUGGGCGUAAAGGGCGCGUAGGCGGCCAUCUAAGUCAGACGUGAAAUCCCCCGGCUUAACCUGGGAACUGCGUCUGAUACUGGACGGCUCGAGUUUGGGAGAGGGAUGCAGAAUUCCAGGUGUAGCGGUGAAAUGCGUAGAUAUCUGGAGGAAUACCGGUGGCGAAGGCGGCAUCCUGGACCGAGAUUGACACUGAGGAGCGAAAGCCAGGGGAGCAAACGGG